rnacentral:rRNA from 1 species
GACGAACGCUGGCGGCGUGCUUAACACAUGCAAGUCGAACGGAAAGGCCCUGCUUGCAGGGUACUCGAGUGGCGAACGGGUGAGUAACACGUGGGUGAUCUGCCCUGCACUUCGGGAUAAGCCUGGGAAACUGGGUCUAAUACCGGAUAGGAGCCAUUUUUAGUGUGAUGGUUGGAAAGUUUUUUCGGUGUGUGAUGAGCUCGCGGCCUAUCAGCUUGUUGGUGGGGUAAUGGCCUACCAAGGCGGCGACGGGUAGCCGGCCUGAGAGGGUGGACGGCCACAUUGGGACUGAGAUACGGCCCAGACACCUACGGGAGGCAGCAGUGGGGAAUAUUGCACAAUGGGCGCAAGCCUGAUGCAGCGACGCCGCGUGGGGGAUGACGGCCUUCGGGUUGUAAACUCCUUUCGCUAGGGACGAAGCUUUUUGUGACGGUACCUAGAUAAGAAGCACCGGCUAACUACGUG